GACGUGACUUCAGAGUUUGAUCCUGGCUCAGGACGAACGCUGGCGGCGUGCCUAACACAUGCAAGUCGAACGGAGUUAAGGCUUCGGUUUUAACUUAGUGGCGAACGGGUGAGUAACGCGUGAGGAACCUACCUUUCAGUGGGGGACAACAGUUGGAAACGACUGCUAAUACCGCAUAAUGUUAUCGGGUCGCAUGAUCUGAUAACCAAAGAUUUAUUGCUGAAAGAUGGCCUCGCGUCUGAUUAGAUAGUUGGUGGGGUAACGGCCUACCAAGUCGACGAUCAGUAGCCGGACUGAGAGGUUGAACGGCCACAUUGGGACUGAGAUACGGCCCAG
rnacentral:rRNA from 1 species